rnacentral:rRNA from 1 species
CGGGGGGAGGAAAGUAGGGGAUCGGGUGAGUAAUGCAUCGGAACGUGUCCUCUCGUGGGGGAUAACCAGUCGAAAGAUUGGCUAAUACCGCAUGAGAUCGAAAGAUGAAAGCGGGGGACCGCAAGGCCUCGCGCGAGAGGAGCGGCCGAUGCCGGAUUAGCUAGUUGGUGGGAUAAAAGCCUACCAAGGCGACGAUCCGUAGCUGGUCUGAGAGGACGACCAGCCACACUGGGACUGAGACACGGCCCAGACUCCUACGGGAGGCAGCAGUGGGGAAUUUUGGACAAUGGGCGCAAGCCUGAUCCAGCCAUGCCGCGUGUGUGAAGAAGGCCUUCGGGUUGUAAAGCACUUUCGGACGGAACGAAAUCGCGCGGACGAAUAUUCCGCGUGGAUGACGGUACCGUAAGAAGAAGCACCGGCUAACUACGUGCCAGCAGCCGCGGUAAUACGUAGGGUGCGAGCGUUAAUCGGAAUUACUGGGCGUAAAGGGUGCGCAGGCGACUCCGCAAGUCAGACGUGAAAUCCCCGGGCUCAACUUGGGAAUGGCGUUUGAAACUACAAAGCUAG